GGCUAGUCCAAAGGUAGUGAGUUAUCUGAGUUGAUUGUUCACAGUCAGUAACAGAUCAGACUCCUUAUUUUACUCUCACUACUGCACUUGACUAGUCUGAA
rnacentral:Y_RNA from 1 species